rnacentral:misc_RNA from 1 species
UUUUUUUUUUUUUUUUGUGGUUUUGUUUGUAAUUUCUGGCAGUAUAUUAGAUAAUACCCCUAUCCAAUGUUCACAUGGAAAAGUCCCAGUGUCAAAAGUUGGCUCCAUUAAGCGGUUGUCUGCUGAAUCUUGGACCAAAUUGUUCUCUAGGGUAUCUACAAGUCUAAUUUGUCUCACUUAUAUUCAGAGAACUAUAUCUUGUCAUAUUAGUGUUUUCCCUAGCUAAUAGUAUUUCUGUAUAGCCUAAAGGUGAAGAUGCCUUCAGUGUGCUAGGUCUCCCAUAGAAAUCAAGUUGUUAGGCACCAAAAAGUCAUGCGCAUGUGUACAGCAAGGCACUGUUGAUAAAUAAACUUACAUUUCAUAAAUGUAAAAAAAUGAGAACAUUGCCCCUUUUUAGUUAAUUGUGUUGUGUUGACACUAAAUGUGCAGUAGGUAAAAAGAUGAUUGAACAUAAUUAAUCAAACCAGUAAAAUGCAAUAAAAAAUGAGUUGAAAAUUUAUUUCAUUAAAAUCUUUCAUGCUUCAUUAUACUGGAAUGGCAAAAGAGGAUCCAUAUAGCUGAUCCCAACUUGUUUUGAAUUAAGGCUUUGUCGUUGUUGUAUGCUUCAUUAUGGUUUAACUAAAAAUGCUGUGAAAGUUUCAGCACAAUAUGUUUCUCUAGCUGAGAAGCAGUCAGCUAUUUGUUUCUUUAAUAAUCUUCAUUUCUUUGGCUUGUGCACAGGAGCUAUGUUCGAACAGAUGCCAAGAUUACUUUGGGGGAAGAAAAGAAGCUUCACCUUUACAACUCCAUAGAAUGAUGAAAAUGGGAAAUUGUAUUCAAGAAAUUGAAAAACAGAGUACAUUGGAAGCUAGAGUAUGAAAUUGCUGACGUCUUUGUUACAUGUAAGGGCAAAGGGAAACCAAAGAUAAAAUAAAAAUAAAAAUAGUAUAGAAACAUUGGACAUCUGAAAGUGAGGGGACAAAGGAGUUUUGGUUGGAUAGAGAAAUGUUGAAUUGAUUAUUUAAUAAAAAUUGAAGAAAUAAUAUUCUGCUUUGGUACUACAAUAGCCAAAGGGUGAAGGCUUAAGGCAUGCAGCAAGAAAAAGAAGUCAUUUUAAGUAAGAUUAUAGCAAUGAGUGCAGAGGCACAAAUAGUAAACAUAGUACAAGUUCCUUUUCUUGUUUUUAAGAUUGGAAUAAGGCUGAAAUUAUGGGUCUUCUUAAAUUCAGACCUACCUUAGUAAGUCAAUGUGCAGGGGACUGUUAGAUCUUGUGUGGUACUCACCUCAAGUGCCUCUCACGUUAGGAAAAGCGUGGAUCAAUAUAAUUGCCUCACCUUGAGGGUUCCAAGGCACCUUUACUUGCCUGAUCGCCAGAUGAGUGCCUGUAUUGCCUAUGAGAACAGUAUUUGUGUUCAAAAACUUAUAUUGUGUGCAUGUAUGUGACUUUCUAUUUUCACCUAGUAAACCCAUUAUUUCUUAGUUUAAAGAAAUGGUGUCUAAUUGUCUAUCCACUUUUGAUUAAGAGGCAUGUUUCUGAUUAUGUUUUUCUUUCUGAGCUCAUGUUGGACUGCUUCAAGUUCUUUUUCCUUUUCCCCCUUUUUUCUGUCUCUGGUUUAUUACUGGGCUGUGCAACCAUUGCUGAAUCUUCUGUUAAAUGCUUAUUAAAUUCAGUAUGGUGGAGGGCCAACACUGA